rnacentral:misc_RNA from 1 species
AACCUUAUGGACCUGCGGGCGUAUACCUGCGGAAGGAUCAUUACCGAGUGCGGGCCCCCGCGGCCCAACCUCCCACCCUUGUCUCUAUACACCUUGUUGCUUUGGCGGGCCCACCGGGGCCACCUGGUCGCCGGGGGACGCUCGUCCCCGGGCCCGCGCCCGCCGGAGCGCCCUGUGAACCCUGAUGAAGAUGGGCUGUCUGAGUACGAUAAAAAUGGUCAAAACUUUCAACAACGGAUC